ensembl:lncRNA
GUGAGAGGGUUGCGCGCGUACCCACGACCUAUCUGUAGAAGGCUCACCCCACACACAUACGCUUUCUGGACAGAGGCGCCUGCCGAGCCUGGGCUCCCUGAUCAGAGUGGGCCAGAAAAGCUCACAGACCCAGGAGAAUGAGGCCAGGCCGGCAGCCUAGUGCGCAGAGUGCUCCCUAACUAUCGGAGGUCUGCGAUUUGUGCCUUGGACUCCCAACCGAAAGUCUGCCUAGACCUGCCUGCCUCCUGAAGAGAGCUAAUGAUGUCUGGUCUUCCCUACUUGGCUGACUCAAAGGGCCACCUGGGACCUCGACGGCUCACCUUUGUAUAAGUCACUUCAUGAAGCCCAGCAGCUGCCUGGCAGAUGGACCCUGCCCACAGCCUUCCAUUUCCUGGCUCUUUGUGUAAGAGGCCCUGGGCCUCAUCUGGUCUUCCAUACCUUCUGAGGACAUUGCUUGCCAGCCCGAACUGGACCUCCCUAUCCAAACGCCCCACUCCCAUGCUCUCCCUGACUGCUUAACACGGAUGUGCAAAAAGCACUCAAGAUGGGGGAGGGAAGGGCAGCACCACCCACCCUCCUGGAUGACAAGAACUUCUGGACACUGACACAGUAAGGCACAGCAGCCAAAUCUUGGGAAGAUACAUCUCUGCAAGUGUGAACUGGAGGGAGUGACCCCACAGGCCCUGCUGAGCUCAUCAGAUAAUGGUGCAACAGCAGCUUCCCCAGCCUGAGUGAAGCAAGCUCCAUCUGCAGAUUGUGCAACAUCUUCAGGUUCUUCUGCUAGAGGAUGAUGCUCCAGGGUGUGGCUCAUCAGCCCACUCCCCAGCAAGUCACAGAUCAUCACCACCCUGGCUGGCCUAGAAGGGGUUUAUCCAGAGCAGAUCAUGCAGUGACCAGGGCUGAAGCAGCUGGCCAGGGCAAUCCCCUUUUAAGUUCUGUGUCAUACCACAGCCUGGGGAAGAUGGACAUAAGCUUUGGUGAGGACCAGGGCCCCACAGGGGAGGUCCAGAAAGCCAAGGAGAGGGCAGCAAGCUGAUAAAUAGAAAAGAUAGAGGCACAACAUUUUCAAAGGUGAGCUGAGCCCAGAGCUCACCUUCUGGAGACUGUAAGCCAGAGGCUAAGAAGGCCGGCAGCAUGUACCCUGCCCCAAGGCCUAUCCUAGCAAAAGGCUAUGGACUAUUCCAAACAAGUGCUUUGCCAUGGGGACCCUGUUCAGAAUGCUAUCUAAGUGUCUAGAGUUCCAAUGUCAAGUUGUGAUGGCCAGGGUAAGGUCACAGUGCAUAUCUGUCUGGGGUGGGUGUGGGCUGCCCGGCUAGUGCCCCUGGGAGGCUGAAGUUUCUUUGUCUGAAAGAAAGGAGGGAGAGGAGAGAAAGCAAAUCACCAUUAAAUGACGUUUCAGACACCAGGCAAGUCAACAGGCCCAGAGGCUCAGCUCCUGUGUCCCCUGUGUAUUCCCUGAGAUUUACAGGAAGACCUGAAGUUCUUUCUCUGCACGAACAAUGACAAAAGGACAAAAACAUCAUGGCAGACUAAUCAUGUAGCAGGUCCCUACAAACCACUCACUCAUUGACAGCCCCAUUUUACAGAGUGUGAAACUGAGACUGAAGGGACUGGCCACAGAGCUGGGAUUCACAGUACAAAAUGCAAAGGAGCCAGGGGUGGCUGUGUCUACCUAUGUCUGCAAGCAGACUGAUAAGGCGUGAGGCUCUGUGUGAGCAGGAGAGCAGGGGGCAAACAAGGCUGAGUUGAUAGAGUACACACAAACAACAAACAGCUCUCCAACACCA